GUUCAGAAAAACGAUUGAGAGCAAUUAUUUGCGAUUAACAUUUGAAGGGGAUAUGUGUAAAGUUGGUCCGCCACCAAGUUCCGAAAACGGAAGUACAACUUCAGCUAAUAUAGUGGGGAAAGGUACAGAAAAACUUAACGCGCACACUAAAACUGACACCUUCGACAAUCCGUACUUCCAUUGUGUUUUUGUUGUCAACGGAAACCUGCGAACAAAAGAGUCCGUAAACAGGAAGUUGUUAGAGGGGACACCGGUCAUUGUACUGAAGG